rnacentral:rRNA from 1 species
UAACACGUAGGGGCCAAGCGUUGUCCGGAUUUAUUGGGCGUAAAGAGCUCGUAGGCUGUUCGGUAAGUCGGGUGUGAAAACUCUGGGCUCAACCCAGAGACGCCAUCCGAUACUGCUGUGACUAGAGUCCGGUAGGGGAGUGUGGAAUUUCCGGUGUAGCGGUGAAAUGCGCAGAUAUCGGAAGGAACACCAGUGGCGAAGGCGGCACUCUGGGCCGGAACUGACGCUGAGGAGCGAAAGCGUGGGUAGCAAACAGGAUUAGAUACCCUGGUAGUCCACGCCGUAAACGUUGGGCACUAGGUGUGGGGUCGUACCAAUCGAUUCCGUGCCGUAGCUAACGCAUUAAGUGCCCCGCCUGGGGAGUACGGCCGCAAGGCUA